rnacentral:lncRNA from 1 species
AGGAGGACGGGGUCCUGUCCCAGCGUCCCAGCCCAGCUACCCAAGUAGAAGAGUUUUCACCAGCUGGACGCAGAAGUGGCAGUGAGAUUCAAAGCAUGAGAAGGAUUUGACAUGCCACUGCUGGCUUCAAGACGGAAGAGGCCAUUGGCUAGGAAUGUGGGUGGCCUCUGAAAGCUAAGAGCAAGGAAGCCGCACCAUAGGUUCCACAGCUGAAAUGAACUAGAUUCUGCUAGAAUUAGAGAGCUUCCAGACAAGAACUCAGCCCAGUCCAUACGCUGAUGUCCACCUUGUGAGCAGAGAGCCCGUGCUGCCCUUCUGAUGGACAGAACUGUGAACUCACAGACGGGUGCAGUUUGAGCUGCUCGUAGGAUUUUGAGGAUUUGUCAGGAGCAGCAGAAGCAAGUGCAGGGGAGCUCAGAGUGCAGAGGGCAGGAGGGGCUUCCCCGGGAGAUGAGGUGGCAGUGUGUCCUGGGAAGAGUGUGUGGGAGGCGGGCAGGUGGGGGAGGCCUAACCUCUUCUCAGGGUUCCAAGAUCUCAAAAGCCAAGGACAAGCACCCUUGUCCUUACACCUGUCAAGCUUGACAGAGCCGCAUCUCUGAUAAUGAUUGUUAUCAGGAGAUGGGGGGAGAGAAGAGGGGUAGGUGAUGAGCCAUCAGGGUUAUGUCAGAGGUGAUUUAUGUUAGUUUUGUUUACAAUACUUAAAUUUUUUUUUUUUUAGACAGAGUCUCACUCUGUCACGCAUGCUAGAGUCCAGUGGCGCUAUCUUGGCUCACUGCAACCUCUGCCUCUGGGGUUCAAGUGAUUCUCCUGCCUCAGCCUCCAAGUAGCUGGGACUACAGGCGCCCGCCACUGUGCCUGGCUGAUUUUUGUAUUUUCAGUAGAGAUGGGGUUUCGCCAUGUUGGCCAGGAUGGUCUUGAACCCCUGACCUCAGGUGAUCCACCCGCCUCAGCCUCCUGAAGUGCUGGGAUUACAGGCGUGAGCCACUGCACCCUGCCUAUGAUACUUAAAUUUUUUGUAAGAAGAAUAUAUCCAAGUAGUACUUACAUAAUUUAAGAAAUACUUGCUGCCUGUUCUGUAACCCUGUGCCCCAACGUCCCAGAGCUCUGAGGGGUGGGGGCGCGGGAGCAGCUCCACUCCAAGCCUCAUUGUUCACAGCGUCUCUUGCUUGAUCACCUGCUGGCUGUUUCGAGCUGAUCAUACAGCCUGCGGAUCAUUCGGGCUCUUUGAUUCUGCUACUUAUUUCUCCAGACUUUCAGCUGUUUUAUCUAUCUAUGUUAGAUGUUGAAAGGGAAGCAAAAUCCAGGAUCAAAUCUAUCUGGCUGCUUUUCUGGUUAAAAAACGACGUGAGGGAAAGAAGAUGAGCCUUUUAACUUAAAAAACAAAUUCACCUGUUGAGCCCUGUGGCAAAGAAAGCUGAUGCCUCCAAAAUAUCUAUUCCCUCCUCCUUCAUUAGACUUUUUUUUUUCUUUUUUUGAGAUGGAGUCUCGCUCUGUUGCCCAGGCUGAAGUGCAGUGGCACAAUCUUGGCUCACUACAACCUCCACCUCCUGGGUUCAAGCAAUUCUCCUGCCUCAGCCUCCCAAGUAGCUGGGAUUACAGGCGCCUGCCACCAUGCCAGGCUAAUGUUUUGUAUUUUUAAUAGAGAUGGGGUUUCAUCAUUUUGGCCAGACUGGUCUCAAACUCCUGACCUCAGGUGAUCCACCUGCCUCAGCCUCCCAGAGUGCUGGGAUUACAGGCGUGAGCCACUGCAUCUGACUCCUUUGACUCUUUUUCUGGGCACUUGGUCAGAUAUAAAGACUAUAAUUUUUAGCUUCCUUUGCAGCUAGGUGUGGCCUCAUGAUACAUUCUGCCCAGUGUGAUAGAAAUGAGCAAAAAGCAUGCGCCCUUCAAAAUAUGACCUUAAAGAGAGAAGUAAUGCCCUUCUCCUUUGUUGGCUGGAAAGACUGCCUGUAGGCUUGAUGGCUGGAGCUCAAGCAGCCGUCUUGAACUAUGAGGAUGACCCCACAUGCCCAUCACAUCUGAAAGGCCUCAAGGCCUUUGGGCGAGACGGUAUGGGCCAGGCAACCAGCCUCAUGAUGUGUCCCACACCGCCUAACAGAUGAGUGAGUGUCCCAGGUCUGGGUUCCCUUACCCCUCUCUUGAAUCUACAGAAGAGAAGUUUCAUGAUCUCAGAUCACAGCCCUAUGGAAGCUCUUGCCAAACACUGGGGAAGCCUAACUCUAAUAAAAGUGUUCCCAUGGGAAGUCCAACACAGCUCUCAUUCUGAAUGACCUGUAUUGUUGGUCCAAGCAGGGAUACAUCAAAGAGACUGGUGGUUUAUUAGCAUUACCCAGAAGGUCAGUGUCAC